GACGAACGCUGGCGGCGUGCUUAACACAUGCAAGUCGAGCGGUAAGGCCCUUUCGGGGGUACACGAGCGGCGAACGGGUGAGUAACACGUGGGUGACCUGCCCUCAGCUCUGGGAUAAGCCUGGGAAACCGGGUCUAAUACUGGAUAUGACUCCAUGACGCAUGUUGUGGGGUGGAAAGCCUUGUGCGGCUGAAGAUGGGCCCGCGGCCUAUCAGCUUGUUGGUGGGGUGANGGCCUACCAAGGCGACGACGGGUAGCCGGCCUGAGAGGGCGACCGGCCACACUGGGACUGAGACACGGCCCAGACUCCUACGGGAGGCAGCAGUGGGGAAUCUUGCGCAAUGGGCGAAAGCCCUGACGCAGCGACGCCGCGUGAGGGAUGACGGCCUGGUGUAACGU
rnacentral:rRNA from 1 species